AUCUUGUUUUUGGUUUGUAAGUGUGAUGAUUGGCUGUUCACACCGUAGCUGGAUAUGUGCCUCCCGAAGACCUGGUUACAAUAUUAGCAAUUACCUGUGGAAAA
ensembl:snoRNA